rnacentral:rRNA from 1 species
UUUGGUGAUGAUGCGACUUUAGGAAACACCCGUUUCCAUACCGAACACGAAGGUUAAGCUAAAGUCGGCCGACGGUACUUAUUUGGAGACGAAUAGGGAGAAUAGGUGAUUGCCAAAU